CCUACGGGAGGCAGCAGUGAGGAAUAUUGGUCAAUGGACGAGAGUCUGAACCAGCCAAGUAGCGUGAAGGAUGACUGCCCUAUGGGUUGUAAACUUCUUUUAUAUGGGAAUAAAAUGUUCCACGUGUGGGAUUUUGUAUGUACCAUAUGAAUAAGGAUCGGCUAACUCCGUGCCAGCAGCCGCGGUAAUACGGAGGAUCCGAGCGUUAUCCGGAUUUAUUGGGUUUAAAGGGAGCGUAGGUGGGUUGUUAAGUCAGUUGUGAAAGUUUGCGGCUCAACCGUAAAAUUGCAGUUGAAACUGGCAGUCUUGAGUACAGGAGAGGUGGGCGGAAUUCGUGGUGUAGCGGUGAAAUGCUUAGACAUCACGAAGAACUCCGAUUGCGAAGGCAGUUCACUGGACUUCAACUGACACUGAGGCUCGAAAGUGUGGGUAUCAAACAGGAUUAGAUACCCCAGUAGUC
rnacentral:rRNA from 1 species